rnacentral:lncRNA from 1 species
CGGAAGUGUCGGUGAAGAGGCACUCACUCUUCGUUCUCUCGAGCAGCAGCACUCGGAGCCCCCACCGACCCAGCCACCAUGAUCAAGGUUCUGAUCCUCCUCGCCGUGCUGGCCCUCUUCGCUGUCUCGUACGCUGUGGCCAAGCCACAGUACUACGUCGCAGACAGCCUGUACUACGGGUA